CAUGCAAGUCGAGCGCGACCUUCGGGUCNAGCGGCGGACGGGUUAGUAACGCGUGGGAACGUACCCUUUUCUAAGGAAUAGCCACUGGAAACGGUGAGUAAUGCCUUAUACGCCCUUCGGGGGAAAGAUUUAUCGGANAAGGAUCGGCCCGCGUUAGAUUAGAUAGUUGGUGGGGUAAUGGCCUACCAAGUCUACGAUCUAUAGCUGGUUUGAGAGGAUGAUCAGCAACACUGGGACUGAGACACGGCCCAGACUCCUACGGGAGGCAGCAGUGGGGAAUCUUNGACAAUGGGCGCAAGCCUGAUCUAGCCAUGCCGCGUGAGUGAUGAAGGCCUUAGGGUCGUAAAGCUCUUUCGCCUGUGAAGAUAAUGACUGUAGCAGGUAAAGAAACCCCGGCUAACUCCGUGCCAGCAGCCGCGGUAAUACGGAGGGGGUUAGCGUUGUUCGGAAUUACUGGGCGUAAAGCGCGCGUAGGCGGACNUUUAAGUCNGAGGUGAAAUCCCAGGGCUCAACCCUGGAACUGCCUUUGAUACUGGGUGUCUUGAGUUCGAGAGAGGUGAGUGGAAUUCCGAGUGUAGAGGUGAAAUUCGUAGAUAUUCGGAGGAACACCAGUGGCGAAGGCGGCUCACUGGCUCGAUACUGACGCUGAGGUGCGAAAGUGUGGGGAGCAAACAGGAUUAGAUACCCUGGUAGUCCACACCGUAAACGAUGAAUGCCAGUCGUCGGGNAGUAUNCUGUUCGGUGACACACCUAACGGAUUAAGCAUUCNNNCUGGGGAGUACGGUCGCAAGAUUAAAACUCAAAGGAAUUGAC
rnacentral:rRNA from 1 species